GAUCCUGGCUUAGGAUGAACGCUAGCGACAGGCUAACACAUGCAAGUCGAGGGGCAGCAUAAAAGUAGCAAUACGUUGGUGGCGACCGGCGCACGGGUGAGUAACGCGUAUGCAACCUACCUAUCAGAGGGGAAUAACCCGGCGAAAGUCGGACUAAUACCGCAUAAAACAGGGGCACCGCAUGGUGAUAUUUGUUAAAGAAAUUCGCUGAUAGAUGGGCAUGCGUUCCAUUAGGUAGUUGGUGAGGUAACGGCUCACCAAGCCGACGAUGGAUAGGGGAACUGAGAGGUUGGUCCCCCACACUGGUACUGAGACACGGACCAGACUCCUACGGGAGGCAGCAGUGAGGAAUAUUGGUCAAUGGGCGGGAGCCUGAACCAGCCAAGUCGCGUGAAGGAAGAAGGAUCUAUGGUUCGUAAACUUCUUUUGCAGGGGAAUAAAGUGCAGGACGUGUCCUGUUUUGUAUGUACCCUGAGAAUAAGGAUCGGCUAACUCCGUGCCAGCCGCCGC
rnacentral:rRNA from 1 species